ensembl:lncRNA
UAUCAGAGUUAAUUUUUAUCAUUAAAGAGAGUAUUGAAGUUUGAUUAUAACUUAAUAUUAUAUUUAUUUACAUAACCUACAAUGUGCAGUUUUAUUAAUUCAUUUGCAAGACAAUGUAGAAUAUAUGUUCCAUUUCUUUUUUUUUCAUGAAGGAAGAGCUUGAUGAAAUAGUCAGUGCCUGGAAUUGCCACAGGAUACGGCCAACUCACAACCCACGUGCUCCCAGUGGUCGACCUUCAAUAAUGUUUGCUGUUCCCAGUUUAUAUGGAGUGCAGAAUUUCUUGCAUCCAGUUGAACAAACAAAACUGAGCAUUUGCCAAGAGGAGUGUUUAUUUAAAGACUACCCUUGUGAUGAGGAUGUCUUUCAACUGUGUGUAGAACUCAUGGCUGAGCAUAACCUUGUCAUGUCAGAUGAUGUUUAUGAAAUUACGGACCUUUACCUUCAACUUCGUGAACUGAUCCUUCAAGGACUGGAUUUGGAGGAAUAGAUUCACCAUUCUAAUCUAAUCUACAACAUUCACUAUAAGCUAAAGAUGUUGAACUGCAGCCUUACUCUCCCUACCCAAGCAACCUUGGACCACUGGAUGGAAUCGCAAAGCUUUUGGCAUCACAUGCCAGUGUGUUUUUAAUCCAAUCAUAGUCUCAAAACAAGUUUCUGAGUUCAAAGGCUCUGCAAUCCCCAUCCUUACUUCCAUUGUGCUAUCUCUAUCUCUAUCAAGAUUAAGGAUUUAACCAUUAUCCACUGUAUGAAGCCCUGCAACCUCUAAAGCACCCAGACUCAGGCUCCAUGAGCCUACUCUGAGGAUCCAGAUGGAAAAACAUUUACAUCCCAUCAUUAUAUACACCCCUCAGGAUCACCUUGUCUAUUAGACACAUUACUCAAGGUACAGUAAAUAAUCUCCAUUAUAAAUCAGUGCAUGAUGAUAUAAAAUCACAGUGAUGUUGCUUUGUGUUUUCAGAGGGCAGAAAUAAUUUGUUCCAUACCAUCCUCAUAUCUAUCCUCAUGUGCAAAGGAGGCCAGCAUAAUGUCAAAUCAAGAUCUUAUUUGUGAUCUGUUUGUUUUCAGUCUUAUAGCAUGGCAAAAGCACAACCCUCAGAAUUAAAGGGGAAAAUGCACAAGCAUCUAGAUGUAAUGAAUACUAAAAAAAAGACUAUUUUUUAAUGUAUAAACUAAGUUUUUCCAACUACAGUAAUGUAAAUUUUUUUGCAUGAUUUCAAACAUUUUUGUGAUACACUAUCAUUACUUUCAGGCCUAACCUGAAUACAAAUGAAGCACAGCAAACCUGUUUUAGAUGUACAAGACAAUGUUUUGAACCUCAAAACUAAAG